rnacentral:rRNA from 1 species
UACGUAGGAGGCAAGCGUUGUCCGGAAUCACUGGGCGGAAAGCGCGUGUAGGCGGAUCGCUAAGGCUGUGGUGAAAGCGCCUGGCUUAACCGGGCGAGGUCCAUGGAAACUAGCGGUCUGGAGGCCGGUAGAGGGGGGUGGAAUUCCGGGUGUAGUGGUGAAAUGCGUAGAGAUCCGGAGGAACACCAGUGGCGAAGGCGGCCCCCUGGGCCGCGCCUGACGCUGAGACGCGAAAGCGUGGGGAGCAAACAGG